GAUGUGUUACAAGGAGUGGUACUUUGUGAGCUUCGGUAAGUAUUUGACCUGGCCAGUGAAUUCCAGAUGGACUUUCCUGAGAAAGCAAUAGUUUUCCUGAGAUCUGUAGGGUAAGUAGGAGUUCAUCAGGCAAGAGUAAGACGAAGUGUGGAGAGCCUUAUAGUCAAUGAGAGAAUGUAAAAGAGACAGGAGAAGAUUGAGGAAAAGAGAUGGUGGAUGCUAGCAUGUUUAAAGGUCUAGAAUGAGGAGAAUAAGAAAGAGUUUGAUUAUCAAAGAGAUUGAGAGGUAGUGAAAGGCCAG
rnacentral:lncRNA from 10 species